rnacentral:tRNA from 1 species
GCCAUAGCUCAGUGGAGAGAGCAAUGGUCUAGUAAACCAGAGGUCGAGAGUUCGAUCCUCCCUGGAGGCA